GAUGAAGAACGUAGUGAAAUGCGAUAAUUAAUGUGAAUUGCAGAAUUCAGUGAAUCAUCGAGUCUUUGAACGCACAUUGCGCCCCCUGGUAUUCCGGGGGGCAUGCCUGUCCGAGCGUCAUUGCUGCCCUCAAGCACGACUUGUGUGUUGGGCCUCCGUCCUCCUCCCGGGGGACGGGCCCGAAAGGCAGCGGCGGCACCGCGUCCGGUCCUCGAGCGUAUGGGGCUUCGUCACCCGCUCUUGUAGGCCCGGCCGGCGCUUGCCGACACAUCAAUCUUUUUUCCAGGUUGACCUCGGAUCAGGUAGGGAUACCCGCUGAACUUAAGCAUAUCAAUAAGCGGAGGA
rnacentral:misc_RNA from 1 species